CGUUCUUUAUUCUUCUUCUCCUCCUUAUUUCUUCCUCUUCUCUUCACCUGCAAUUGAAAAUCGAAAAAUAAAUGGAGGAUUUGAGAUCAUAGAAAGAGGGAAAUGAUCAAGAUUCGAGUGAUAGUGAUUGUGUGAGUUUGUGUGGUUGAUUCGAAUGUAACAGAAAAGGAAAUUUAUGAGGAAAAGUUUGAUUACAAAGACAAUGCAGAGGAAAGGAAGAACAAGGUGCUUCGGUCUUUGUUGGCUGAUUAUUGCACAUAUGUUGUAGCUUACUGGAUGGUCCAUUAACAAAGCAAGUAAUGCCGGAGCACCUGAUAGAAUGCUGGGUGAAAUUCAAGGGGCAAUUCCAGGAAGUGUAUUCUGAUUUCAGAAGUUGGGGGUCCCAUUCUGUUUUGAAAGUCGCUUAGUGAAGGUAGCAUCCGAUCUAACUUGCAUUUCCAUGUGGCGUAAGUAUACGUGGUUGGAUUGCAUCUGAAGUGUCCAUGAUGAUCCAAAGAAAUGUACAUGUCUCAUCAUCCCUGUGGCAUAAGUCUUAGUUCUGUAUUGGUUAGGCGAAAAUCAUUUGGAAAUGGUUCCAAGGCCUGCUCUUGCUGUUUUGAGAGGGCGGAAAGAUUACAUCUGUUAAGGUGGAAGUAAAUGAAUUUUAGGAAUUCAAUCACUUUCUCUAGAGUGCAACAUCUGACUCAAGAAUAAUGGCAAAACCUGCUACGGGAAUUUGGAACUCAUCAUGGUUCCUUGGAACCUCAUAGGCUCACACGACGUGAAUGUUGAGGCAGUCGCAGAAUUUAGUAUAUCCGUUCAUCAAUUUUGUAACUACAUGAGAAUGGGAAGUUUAUUCCUGAGGUACAGUUUUGAGUUGGUAUGCACCUGCUUAGGAAUUGCUUAGACAUUUGUAUUUAACUUUCGUAGCUUUCCAUUUUGAACAUUACAUCUCAAAUACUAGCUCAGGUAACAAUCUUUUCUUUA